GACGAACGCUGGCGGCGUGCCUAAUACAUGCAAGUAGAACGCUGAAGAGAGGAGCUUGCUCUUCUUGGAUGAGUUGCGAACGGGUGAGUAACGCGUAGGUAACCUGCCUUGUAGCGGGGGAUAACUAUUGGAAAUGAUAGCUAAUACCGCAUAACAAUGGAUGACACAUGUCAUUUAUUUGAAAGGGGCAAUUGCUCCACUACAAGAUGGACCUGCGUUGUAUUAGCUAGUAGGUGAGGUAAUGGCUCACCUAGGCGACGAUACAUAGCCGACCUGAGAGGGUGAUCGGCCACACUGGGACUGAGACACGGCCCAGACUCCUACGGGAGGCAGCAGUAGGGAAUCUUCGGCAAUGGGGGCAACCCUGACCGAGCAACGCCGCGUGAGUGAAGAAGGUUUUCGGAUCGUAAAGCUCUGUUGUAAGUCAAGAACGGGUGUGAGAGUGGAAAGUUCACACUGUGACGGUAGCUCACCAGAAAGGGACGGCUAACUACGUG
rnacentral:rRNA from 1 species